CCAAUCGAGCCCGGAGAUAGCUGGUUCUCCCCGAAAUAGCUUUAGGGCUAGCCUCAAGGUGAGAGAUACGGAGGUAGAGCACUGAAUGUCCUAGGGGGUAUUGCACCUACCGAAGACUAUCAAACUCCGAAUGCCGUCAUCUUAUACUUGGGAGUCAGACUGUGGGUGAUAAGAUUCAUAGUCGAAAGGGCAACAGCCCAGAUCGUCAGCUAA
rnacentral:rRNA from 1 species